GUGUCAGGGGCAGCUGCUGGAAGGAGGCGCAAGCACCACGGAGAGUCUGGGAUGCCCAGCCAAGGAGCCCUGGAAGGGUUGCCCUGGGGACUGACACUGUGGGCUCUGUGUUUUAGCCAAGUCACCCAGGCAGCUGAACAGAAGAUGGACUGGAGGGAGAAGCCUGGAUGUAGGAUCGCUCAGCAACAAAGGAGCCAGAAAAGGCAAGGUGUACACACCGUGUGCAGCAUGGGCGAGCUGCAGGCAUGCAGGUAAGAGUGUGUGCAUGCAGGUGUGUGCACACGAGUUUGCAUGUGCUGAUGCAGAUGGCUAUGAUGCGUGGUGGUGAUAUAUACAUGUGGAUGCUUAUGGAUCUGUGCCAACCAUUAUUAAGCACAUAUGUAUACCCGUGUGUGUAUAUGCAUGCAUGUGUUUGUGUGAGUUGCAAUGUGUAUACAACUUUACACAAUAAGUGAAUUGAGUACAUGUACCUGUUUAUCCACGGAAGUGUAUGAUGACUGGACAUAUGUAAAUAUGUGUAUUUGCAUGUGUUUAUACUUUGUGCAUAGAUGCAUGUUUGUGUAUUUAUGCUGAUCCAUUUAAGCGUAUGGGAUGUGUGUGGAUGUUUGUGUAACAUCUGUACAUACUCCAUAGGUGCAUCUUAAUACAGGAAUAUGGGUGCGAUGUGUAUGUGUGUGUGUGUGCCUGUGUGAACAGGUGCGGCUGGAGGUCUAUGAGUGUGUGGAUAGGUAUAUUUGCCUGUGCGCAUGUGCGAUUCACGUGGUGUGAGUGCACAUGGUCGCAGGCAAAUGUCUGUGUGGGCACACACAUGCCCUGUUGCCCUUUUCUGUCUUUUCCUGUUGGGAAAUUACAGAACUUCUGAGUCCUAACCAUGGCUGGUGGCUCUUCCAGGAACAUGGUUUCCUGGACCCAAAAGGUAAGCUUGUCAGGGACCCACGUGAAUGAGGAAGUGGGUGGGCCUGAGUCUGGGGCUCCUCUGAGAACUGCUGUGGACCAGGGAAAUCUUGCUGCCACCUCUGGUCUUUAGUCCACCUCUCAGUAGUAGCUUUCAAAGCUUGAUUUUUUUGGAGGCGUCUCCACGGAGCAUAGUCCUAAGCUCCUAGCCUACAUUGUCCCUGUUCCUGGGCCUGUUUGGUUGACAUUCUCUUACAGUUUAAAAAAGACAUCCACAUCCGUACUCUUAGCUAAUCCUUGUGACCUUUCUUCUAGUCUGUUUGGAGAGGCUGGGAGCAGAGUGGUUAAAAGAGCCAGGCCUGGUUCCAUUUCUGACCCCUCUUCUAGCUGAGCAACUUCCGCCUCUUCCAGCCUCCCUCACGGGAAUCACAGAUCACGUGAGAUGACACCCAUGAAGGGCUUGACUGGCAUCUGGCACAUGGUGAGGACUGCAAAAAUGUGGGCUAUUGUUUUUACUAUUAUCCCCAUUUUAUAGAUGAGGAAACUGAGGCUUGGAGAGGCUCUCUGCCUUUGUCAACCUGGAGAUGCUGGGAAGGAAGUGAGGCCCAUCCCACCUCAGAUGCCUGUCCUCUGUCGUCAGGAGCAUUCUCUUGUUCUUCCGGGCUUGGCCAAGCGGUGGUAAACCCCACAUGUGGUUCUGUGGUUGCCCACACAGUCCUAAAAAUAGCCAACAGGAACCCAGGGGCUCCCCCUUGGUGAGUGGCAGCAGGCCCAGUCCUCAGGCAGCCACCAACCUGCUCACUCCCCACAGGCAAGCAGGUCCUGUCUAGGAAGGGGCUGGGUGGCCUGGGUCCCAUGCAUGAUGAGCCAGAGGCUGUGCCAAGCUUAUAGCAAAUAUUAUUUUAUUUCAUUAUGUUUUCUUACAUCUGUGAUGUGGAGGCCAUAGCUCCACUGGACUCAUGAGGAGACUGAGGCUCAGAGCAAUGAAGUGACCUGCUCAAAGUUAAGGAGCUUCAGUUUGGACCCAAUUUGUUCUGAUCCUAAGGUCACUAUCCUUAAUCCCUCUCCCUGUGGGGUCUUCCCUAUCUUGAGCCUGUGGACAGCUGUGCAGUGGCAAGAAAAAGGCCUUCAGAGCUACGCAGACCUGGCUUCAAAUCCCAGCCUCCCUGAUGAGCCCUGGUGGUCUUGCAUGCUUGCCCUUGGGACUCAGACACCAUAUUGUGAGGAAGCCCAAGCUACAUGCAGAGGCCACUAUAGUUGUUCUGGCCAACAGCCCAAGCUUCAGCUGCCAGACAUAUAAAUAAACCAACUCUUCAAAUGAUUUCAGUUUCCAGACUUCAGUGCAUCCCAGGCCUCCCCACCUCUGGGCCUCAGCGCCUCUUCCAAUCUGGAGCAUGGAUUAGGCUGGAAUGAUUCCUAAGGUUGCAAAGAAGGCCUCCAUGUUUGUUCAAAGCACAAGUGAACAGAUUCCAGCUGCGAAGUCCCCAGACUUUGCUGUUGUCCAAGGAGUCCACACUCACCCUGCCUCACCAUCUAAUUAGUCACAUCCUAGGAUAAGGACACGGCCUGUCUGCUCCCGGCUCUCCCAUUCCCUCCCCCUGCCCCCUGCCCAGCGUCCUGGAGUUGGGGAGGAGUGGCUCACAGGCCUGGGAGACAUUUUUCCAACCUCAGGAUUACAGCCAGCUCCGCAGUAAACCCCAUCGGCCCCAGAGUGGGGGUGCAACAGCCCAGCCCAUCAGCAGACCCUGGAAUUCAGAAAGAAGCCAGCUGGCGCAGACAGAUGAUGACCUUUUAGACUUUCUUUACAAAGCACUGCACACCAUGGCAUGGAUCUUCCUUAGCACGGCCCUGUUGGAAGGUGGAACAGGUCACUGUGCAGAUGCAGAAACCAGGGCUCUAGGAGACAGGACAGAGCUUACCAAAGUCACUCAGCGAGUGGCAGAGGUGGCACUUCAACCUCAGCUCUGCCACAAAGCCCGUCCUCCAUGAAGACUUCUGAUAAGAGAUCCCUGCAGUUCCUCCAGAACUCACAUCCUACGCCAGGGCUUCCCCAGACAGAUGGGUGAGGUCAGAAAGAGGGGAAGGGCGGGACAGGCUGGGCAUGAGGAGCCGCGUGCCACCACCUGCACCAUGGUAAGAACCUCACCCUGCUCACCGGCCUUGGUGUGCACCUGAGGCCCUGCCUUGGUCCUCAAGGCCCUGGAUGGCCUAGUCUGGCUGGCUCUCCAGCCUCUUCUCUCCUCUCUGUCUCUCUCUCUCUUUUUUUUU
rnacentral:lncRNA from 1 species